CGGCGGGCAGGGGAUGCGGGUGCUUGUGGGAGUGGAAAGAGGAGGCGCCAGCCCCGCUCACUUCGACCUUCCACGGCCAGGCCACCCUGAGGUGGGACUCUGGUACCCGGACUUCUCGCUGCACAGGCCGCUCUGGCCCUGGCGCUCCUGUCACCUGCCGGUACUCGCGCCCGCCCGAGGCUGAGUCCUGACCUCUGCAGCGGACAUCACGGAGCUGCUGCCUGCUGUGGUGCCGGUUCGCAGGCAGGGAUUUCAGGUUGCCUCAGAGACGGAGCGGGCCCUGGAGGGCUGACCUUGGAUGAUCAUGCCCCAGUAUUUUCCACACCGUCUUCUGGACCAGGAAAAGCCAGAACCUAAGAGAACACGUGUCGACUCAUUGGCUUGAUCAUGCCUCCACAAUGAUGGAAAAGAAUUGGCUGCCUUAUUCUACAGGAAAGUAAGUGCAGCCGGAAGCUCAAGUAAUGGAGAUCCAGGAGUACCAGACAGCAGGAGGGCAGUGGGGACCGGGGCUGGGCUCCUGCUUCUCAGAGCCUCCCUGCUAGGCGAGGCCACCCCAGGGAGCCCACCAGGCCCCGGCCAGGGCAGAGCUCCUUACCGCUCGGGUCCGGUUUCAACCAUAGCGCGUGUCCCACCAACGGGAGGCCACCACGGACGGUCGGGAC